ensembl:snRNA
AAAAAGGGCUUCUGCCAUGUUUGGCACAUGAGUGGUGGGGUUGUCCAUCGCUCUUGCGGAAUCGCUAUCAAGAGAUUUCGGAAGCACAAUUUUUACAACCGGGGAUGCUAGUGAUCGCCUGUCCUGGCGCCCCA